GUUGCUUUUGACAUUAAACAUUGCAACAGAUAAAUAAAUAAGCUAUGACAAUGCCUAUUUUAUUCUCUCCAUUUUCACUGAAAAUUUUAAUAAGCCCGCCAAAAAAAAAGCAUUUUAAUUAAUUUUUUUCUCUAAAAUUGUUAAAACAGCUUAAAUGACUCUAUUUUAAUUUCUCUAAAAACUUUUUUUUUCUCUAAAUCGCUAAAAUCGCUAAAGCUUCUGUGGGAUCAUCGACGGUCGGCGUGGAGAUCGUCGUUCUGUGGGAUCAUCGACGGCCGACGUGGGGAUUUUGCUGUAAGUAAAUCGCUAAAGCUUUGGGGAUCGUUGUUCUGUGGGAUUUUGCUGUAGUAAAUCAUCGACGUGGAGAUCAUCGGCGUGGAGAUCAUCGAUGAUUUUAAGGAAUUUCUGCGUUCAUUAUCAGAGAAGCAGUUGCUAAUCAACCAAUAAACUGUCCAUCUGUUGGUAGUAACAAUCAAGGUGUCCAAAAUAAAGAAAGAGAUGAGGAAAAUGAUGAAGACAUUGACCUUACUUGAGAAGAUUUUUGGGUUGUGGAUAAAUGCUCUAAUAUCAAUAGUUUUGUGUUGACUUUCUUGAAACUUAUCGCAACUCAAACUUGCUAGUAUGUAAAAACUUAACUAAUCAUUUGGACUUGAUUACAUUUUGCUUUUGGGUUUAAAUUACUAGCUGGUUGCAUAUUUUGAAUUAUGAGAUCAUUAAUGAAUGAUUUUGUUUUGUGAUGUGUA